rnacentral:rRNA from 1 species
UACGAAGGGGGCUAGCGUUGUUCGGAAUUACUGGGCGUAAAGCGCACGUAGGCGGCUACUUAAGUCAGGGGUGAAAUCCCGGGGCUCAACCCCGGAACUGCCUUUGAUACUGGGUAUCUCGAGUCCGGAAGAGGUGAGUGGAAUUCCGAGUGUAGAGGUGAAAUUCGUAGAUAUUCGGAGGAACACCAGUGGCGAAGGCGGCUCACUGGUCCGGUACUGACGCUGAGGCGCGAAAGCGUGGGGAGCAAACAGG